rnacentral:rRNA from 1 species
ACAGAGGUGGCGAGCGUUGUUCGGAUUUACUGGGCGUAAAGGGUGCGUAGGCGGUUAUGUAUGUCGGAUGUGAAAUCCCAGGGCUCAACUUUGGAAUUGCAUCCGAAACUGCAUAACUUGAGUGCAGGAUGGGAGAGCGGAAUUCUUGGUGUAGCGGUGAAAUGCGUUGAUAUCAAGAAGAACACCGGCGGCGAAGGCGGCUCUCUGGAAUGUUACUGACGCUGAGGCACGAAAGCUGGGGGAGCGAACAGG